rfam:Ricinus communis ctg_1100012359049, whole genome shotgun sequence.
GGUGAGGAUGAGCUAUCCAUGUUGUUGAGGUUUAGUUGAUCCUAAGUCCCUGUCUAAGGGAGAACCUACUUGGGAUCACUACAUUCAUUUUUGAAAUUACCGGAAAUCUCUGAGCU